AGGACGAACGCUGGCGGCGUGCUUAACACAUGCAAGUCGAGCGGAAAGGCCCUUCGGGGUACUCGAGCGGCGAACGGGUGAGUAACACGUGAGCAACCUGCCCUUAGCUUCGGGAUAGCUCCGGGAAACCGGAAUUAAUACCGAAUAUGACUUUGGCUGACAUCAGCAGAAGUGGAAAGUUUUUCGGCUAGGGAUGGACUCGCGGCCUAUCAGCUAGUUGGUGAGGUAACGGCCCACCAAGGCGACGACGGGUAGCCGGCCUGAGAGGGCGACCGGGCCACGACCUGGGACUGAGACACGGCCCAGACUCCUACGGGAGGCAGCAGUGGGGAAUAUUGCGCAAUGGGCGAAAGCCUGACGCAGCGACGCCGCGUGGGGGAUGAAUGCCUUCGGGUUGUAAACCCCUUUCAGCAGGGACGAAGCGAAAGUGACGGUACCUGCAGAAGAAGCGCCGGCUAACUACGUGCCAGCAGCCGC
rnacentral:rRNA from 1 species